rnacentral:rRNA from 1 species
CCUACGGGAGGCAGCAGUCGAGAAUCAUUCACAAUGGGGGAAACCCUGAUGGUGCGACGCCGCGUGGGGGAAUGAAGGUCUUCGGAUUGUAAACCCCUGUCAUGUGGGAGCAAAUUAAAAAGAUAGUACCACAAGAGGAAGAGACGGCUAACUCUGUGCCAGCAGCCGCGGUAAUACAGAGGUCUCAAGCGUUGUUCGGAAUCACUGGGCGUAAAGCGUGCGUAGGCUGUUUCGUAAGUCGUGUGUGAAAGGCGCGGGCUCAACCCGCGGACGGCACAUGAUACUGCGAGACUAGAGUAAGGGAGGGGGAACCGGAAUUCUCGGUGUAGCAGUGAAAUGCGUAGAUAGCGAGAGGAACACUCGUGGCGAAGGCGGGUUCCUGGACAUUAACUGACGCUGAGGCACGAAGGCCAGGGGAGCGAAAGGGAUUAGAUACCCGGGUAGUC